rnacentral:rRNA from 1 species
AUUGAACGCUGGCGGCAUGCUUUACACAUGCAAGUCGAACGGCAGCACGGGUGCUUGCACCUGGUGGCGAGUGGCGGACGGGUGAGUAAUACAUCGGAACGUGUCCAGAAGAGGGGGAUAACGCAUCGAAAGAUGUGCUAAUACCGCAUAUGCUCUGAGGAGGAAAGUAGGGGAUCGAAAGACCUUACGCUUUUGGAGCGGCCGAUGUCUGAUUAGCUAGUUGGUGGGGUAAGGGCCUACCAAGGCGACGAUCAGUAGUUGGUCUGAGAGGACGACCAGCCACACUGGGACUGAGACACGGCCCAGACUCCUACGGGAGGCAGCAAUGGGGAAUUUUGGACAAUGGGCGCAAGCCUGAUCCAGCAAUGCCGCGUGAGUGAAGAAGGCC